rnacentral:rRNA from 1 species
CUAAUACCGGAUGUGCCGGAAGGUGAAAGGCUUGCUGCCUGAAGAUGAGCUCGCGUCCGAUUAGCUAGUAGGUGGGGUAAGAGCCUACCUAGGCGACGAUCGGUAGCUGGUCUGAGAGGAUGACCAGCCACACUGGGACUGAGACACGGCCCAGACUCCUACGGGAGGCAGCAGUGGGGAAUUUUCCGCAAUGGGCGAAAGCCUGACGGAGCAAUACCGCGUGAGGGAGGAAGGCUCUUGGGUUGUAAACCUCUUUUCUCAGGGAAGAACACAAUGACGGUACCUGAGGAAUCAGCAUCGGCUAACUCCGUGCCAGCAGCCGCGGUAAUACGGAGGAUGCAAGCGUUAUCCGGAAUGAUUGGGCGUAAAGCGUCCGCAGGUGGCUGUGUAAGUCUGCUGUCAAAGAGCAAAGCUCAACUUUGUAAAGGCAGUGGAAACUACACGGCUAGAGUGCGUUCGGGGCAGAGGGAAUUCCUGGUGUAGCGGUGAAAUGCGUAGAGAUCAGGAAGAACACCGGUGGCGAAGGCGCUCUGCUAGGCCGCAACUGACACUGAGGGACGAAAGCUAGGGGAGCGAAUGGGAUAGAUCCCCC